rnacentral:SRP_RNA from 1 species
GGUACUGAUACUAUGUCUCUACAUAAUGCGCCAUCAGUGAUAUCCUUUUAUCGGAAGAUGAAAAGGUGUUGUUGGUAAAGAUGUGGAUAACGGGUUAGGCAGGCAACUGAACAGCCUUUACCACACGUGGUGCGUCGAUGUGAGAUUGCAUGG